GUGGGGAAUUUUGGACAAUGGGCGCAAGCCUGAUCCAGCAAUGCCGCGUGCAGGAAGAAGGCCUUCGGGUUGUAAACUGCUUUUGUACGGAACGAAACGGUCCGGGUUAAUACCCUGGGCUAAUGACGGUACCGUAAGAAUAAGCACCGGCUAACUACGUGCCAGCAGCCGCGGUAAUACGUAGGGUGCAAGCGGUAAUCGGAAUUACUGGGCGUAAAGCGUGCGCAGGCGGUUUUGUAAGACAGGCGUGAAAUCCCCGGGCUCAACCUGGGAAUUGCGCUUGUGACUGCAAGGCUGGAGUGCGGCAGAGGGGGAUGGAAUUCCGCGUGUAGCAGUGAAAUGCGUAGAUAUUGGAAGGAACACCAGUGGCGUAAGCGGCUAUCUGGACGAGUAUUGACGCUGAGGCACGAAAGCGUGGGGAUCAAACAGGAUUAGAUACCCCUGUAGUCC
rnacentral:rRNA from 1 species